GACGAACGCUGGCGGCGUGCUUAACACAUGCAAGUCGAACGGUAAGGCCCUUCGGGGUACACGAGUGGCGAACGGGUGAGUAACACGUGGGUGAUCUGCCCUGCACUUCGGGAUAAGCCUGGGAAACUGGGUCUAAUACCGGAUAGGACUCCGGACUGCAUGGUCUGGGGUGGAAAGCUUUUGCGGUGUGGGAUGGGCCCGCGGCCUAUCAGCUUGUUGGUGGGGUGAUGGCAUACCACGGCGACGACGGGUAGCCGGCCGGAGAGGGUGACCGGCCACACUGGGACUGAGAUACGGCCCAGACUCCUACGGGAGGCAGCAGUGGGGAAUAUUGCACAAUGGGCGCAAGCCUGAUGCAGCGACGCCGCGUGAGGGAUGACGGCCUUCGGGUUGUAAACCUCUUUCAGCAUCGACGAAGCGAAAGUGACGGUAGGUGCAGAAGAAGGACCGGCCAACUACGUGCCAGCCGCCGCAGUAA
rnacentral:rRNA from 1 species